rnacentral:lncRNA from 12 species
GCUUAGGAACUUUGGGGAGUUUGAGAUUACCCUCCUGGUGCUUGAAGCCAUGAACCUCAGCGGACCUGCUUUCCCUGGGUGCACCUGACACUCUUCACCCCCAACCACAUUCUUUUGCCCAGCCUCAUUGCUUGAGGCUGCCAACCAACACUGAUAAAGCACAGCAUGAAGACCAGCUUAGAAGUGCUACUUCUUGGGACACCUGGGUGGCUCAGCAGUUAAGCGGCUGCCUUUGGCUCGGGGCGUAAUCCUGGAGUCCUGGGAUCGAGUCCCACAACGGGCUCCCUGCAGGGAGCCUGCUUCUGUCUCUGCUUUUCUCUCUGUGUAUCCCUCAUGAAUAAAUAAAUAAAAUCUUAAAAAAUAAAAAAAAGA